rnacentral:lncRNA from 1 species
AGAACUAAAGAUAAGAAUAGACAAAAGAAACCUCUUUUGCUUUGAUCUUUGAUUAAUCUCCAAAAACUAGCCUUUCCAAGAAACAAAAAUAACCUUUUUUACAAAAAAACACCUCCAAAAAACAAAAAAAACCUCCUCCAAAACAAAGAACAAUCCUUCUCCAAAAAACCAAAAACCCACCCCUAAAAACAAAGUCUUGAAUGGCUUUUAUAGCCAAAUUUUACAAGUGGAGUGGUUGGGGUGGUUUAGGUGGCCAAGGGUGGUGGAGUUGGUGGCUAAGGUGGGUGGCCAACAAAGGUGGUGGAGUAGGUGGCCAAGGUUUUUAUUUAUUUAUUUAUUUAUUUUUUGUGUUUGGGUUGGGAUUAGGUUGGGCCAAAUUGGGUUUGGUUAGGGUUGGUUUAAGUUGGGCCAAAAUUGAGCCUUUACAGCUGCCCCUCUUUGCUCAUUUUCGUGUAACGAGAAUAGAGCAAAGACAUCAAAAGGGCCAAUUUUGCCCGGUCUUGCCGAGUCUUGACUUUUUGGUGCUCAUCUUCUUCCAGUAGCCUUAUUCCAGUCUGCUACGUCUUGUUGCUUCGAUCCACUCUACUGCAACUUCAGAUACGCCUUGUAGCUUCAAUCUACUCUGCUACGACUCCAUGGGGAUGAGAUUUGUGUUUUUAGUCUGCUCCACUACUACUUAGGGAGAUAAGACUUGAUGCGAUCUGCUUCACUAUUUCUUAGGGAAAUAAGAUCUGUGGUUUUAUCUGCUCCACUACUGCUUAGGGAGAUAAGACUUAAUGCGAUCUACUCCACUACUGCUUAGGGAGAUAAGAUUGUAAUCUUCGAUCUAUUCCACUGUUGCCCAAGGAGAUAGAACUACUGGCUUUAAUGUACUCCACUGUAAUCGGAGAGGUAAAAUCCGCCAUCUUCGACCUGCAAUCUAUUCCACUGCUAAAUACAGGGAAAUAGAGUCUGUUUUCAAUCCACUUCCUACCAAUAUAGGAAGGCAGGAUCUACAAUCUUCAAUCUAUUCCACUGCCAGAUACAGGGAGAUAGAGUUAUCGGCUUCAAUGUACUCCACUGUAGUCACAGGGAGGUAAAAUCUGCCAUCUUCGAUCUGCUUCACUGCCUAAUACAGGAAGGCAAGAUCUGCAAUCUUCAAUCUAUUCCACUGCCAGAUACAGUGAGAUAGAGUUAUCGGCUUCAAUGUACUCCACUGUGGUCAGGGAGGUAAAAUCUGCCAUCUUUGAUCUGCUUCGCUGCCAAAUACAGGAAGGCAAGAUCUGCAAUCUUCAAUCUACUUCACCACCAGUAUGGGAAGACAAGAUCUGCAUCUUGGAUCCACUUCCUAUCAAUAUAGGAAGAUAGGACCUGCUAUCUUCGAUCUACUUCACGCCAAUACAUGAAGGCAAGAUCUGCUUUCUGCGAUCUACUUCGCCACCAAUAUGGGAAGACAAGAUCUGCAUAUUGGAUCCACUUCCUAUCAAUAUAGGAAGAUAGGACCUGCUAUCUUCGAUCUACUUCACACCAAUACAUGAAGACAAGAUCUGCUUUCUGCGAUCUACUUCGCCACCAAUAUGGGAAGACAAGAUCUGCAUCUUCGAUCCACUUCCUACCAAUAUAGAAAGAUAGGAUCUGCUACCUUCGAUCUACUUCACGCCAAUACAUGAAGACAAGAUCUGCUUUCUGCGAUCUACUUCGCCACCAAUAUGGGAAGACAAGCUCUGCAUCCUGGAUCCACUUCCUAUCAAUAUAGGAAGAUAGGACCUGCUAUCUUCGAUCUGCUUCACGCCAAUACAUGAAGACAAGAUCUACUUUAAUGACUUCAAUCCCUCCCAUUGCAACUUCAAGGGUAUAGGAUCUGUUUCUUUGAUCUGUUCUCUGGGGAAUAUGACCUGUAAAAUCCAUUUUAUGGACCUAUUUAUGCCUAGUGUUUAGGAUGGCAUGAUCAGAAUGAAUCAAAUGCUUCUAACUAGAUGUGUAUGAAUGAAUGCAGAAUGUCAUGAGAAUGAUCCAUUUUUAAUGUUUGAGUUGUCAUUGCUCAUGUUUUAUCACUGACGUGUUACAACGCCUUCUUGCUCGGCUGGCAUAUCCAAAGAAACACUUAGUCAGAUUGCCCCCACUGCGAACGUCAAAGUUUAAUCCACUGGGACAUAAAAUUUGUACCAUCAAUCUCCCACCGUAAACUAAGGGUAGAAGGAUAUGGCUUUUUCUCGAUCCUCUACUAUCACAAUUCAAGGAUACAGAAUGUGAAACUCUUUGAUCUCCUACACCAUUCCCAAGGUGUCAUACCAAAUGUUUAUGUACAAAUGCAAAAUUUCCUUCUCCGAGAAAACCUUUUCUUAUUACUUGGUGAACAUCGCUUGUUUGUUCAUUGAAGCUUUGCCACCAACACGACAUCUUGUCAAUGUUUGGACAACAAAAUUUGAAAGGAUAGUCCCGACUUGGACUCUUCCUUUUUGGACACUUUGAAUUUGGUGUGCUCUAAACAACAGUCCUGUUUCAGGCUCCUUCAUUAUUUAGAAAUUUCUAGAGUAAUAUGCAAAACUCCAAUUGCUUGAACAUUCAGUUUAUUAAUAGUUAUUCUAAAUGUUUUUCGAGAAGGUUACCACAACGAACAAACAAAUGUUAUUAAGAACAAAUCUCGAGAUGAAUGAGUUAAUCGAGAUAGCAAAUUUUGCUAAGGUAAAAAAUGAAAUAAGACAAUAGACAAGAAUGAAAUUUUAUUGGGGAGCAAAGCUUGAACUGAAUACAAUAAUCAAGACAACAAGUUUUGCCAAGAUUCAAAGUAUAAGAUGACAACAGGUGCCCCAGAUAUCACAGCACGAGCUUCCCUGCACAAGUUUUCUAAAGACCAUUUAAUAUGUGUUUGGAAUCUACAGUAUUUUGUCGAUACCCCAAGAUGUCACCUACUCCUUCUUGCGAUUCAGGUGUAGUAAGACCACCACAUGCCUCAGAUCCUGCUCAAAAAUUCGAGCCGUACCUCACGCUUCAAAAUUCGAGCCGCCUUUUUCAGGUUUUCAACUCAAAUCCCCUUUGGUCUCAAGGUGCCUUUUGCGGGUUUUCACCUUGGCCUCUCCCAUUUUUUUUUUUUUUAAGAAUGCCCCCUUUUUAAGUGAAAUACUUCUUGACUGAGUCUGAAUUUACAGGAUUUGACAGGCUUUUACCAUCCAUUUCGCUCAGGAUUAAAGCUCCUCUUGAAAAGGCCUUUUUUACCACAUAAGGACCUUCCCAAUUUGGCAUCCACUUUCCUCUAAAAUCCUUUUGUAGAGGAAGAAUCUUUUUCAGCACCAGGUCCCCCUCGUAAAAUUCUCUGGGACAAACUUUUUUGUUGUAAGCUCGCAUCAUUCGUUUCUGAUACAUCUGACCAUGACGAAUAUCUUUUAACCUCUUUUCUUCUACCAAGUUUAACUGGUCAUAUCUGGAUUGAAUCCAUUCAGCCUCAUCCAACUUUAGUUCAGUUAAUACUCGGAGAGAAGGAAUUUCAACUUCUAUGGGUAAAACUGCUUCCAUCCCAUAGACUAAAGAAAAUGGUGUUGCCCCGGUAGAGGUUCUAACAGAAGUACGAUAUGCCAGGAGAGCAAAAGGUAAUUUCUCGUGCCAAUCUUUGUAGGUUUCAGUCAUUUUUCCUAUAAUUUUCUUGAUGUUUUUGUUAGCUGCUUCCACGGCACCAUUCAUUUUUGGACGGUACGGUGACGAAUUGUGGUGUCUGAUCUUGAACUGACUACAAACUUCCGCUAUUGAGUUGUUGUUUAAGUUCAGCGCAUUAUCGGAUAUGAUCCUUUCAGGCAUCCCGUAUCGACAUAUGAUCUCUUUUUUCAGAAACUUGCUAACUGCCGACUUCGUGACAUUUGCAUAUGAAGCCGCCUCCACCCAUUUAGUGAAGUAAUCAAUAACCACAAAGAUAAAACGAUGCCCAUUGGAAGCUUUUGGAGAUAUUGGCCCGAUAACGUCCAUUCCCCACAUGGAGAAAGGCCAUGGAGAAACCAUAACAUGAAGGGGUGAAGGUGGUGCGUGCAUUUUGUCACCAUAAAUUUGACAUUUAUGGCACCUCUUGGCAUAAUUAAUGUAAUCCCCUUCCAUGGUGGACCAAUAGUACCCAAAUCUCAUAAUUUGUCUGGUCAUCGUGAAGCCAUUGGCAUGCGUUCCGCAGAUACCUUCAUGCACUUCUUCCAAAAUUUCCUUUGCCUCAACAGCAUCCACACACCUUAACAGUACUUGAUCUUUUCCUUUUUUAUACAAAAUUUCCCCAUCAAGGACAUAGUCAAUGGCUAAUCUCCUUAAUGUCUUCUUAUCAUUUUCUAUCGCAUGGUCAGGGUACUCGCGACUCUUCACAUAUCGCAAUAUGUCAUGGUACCAAGGGUGAUCAUCCUUUCCCUCUUCAUUGUCAAUGUGCAACAAUGGGCUGGAACCUCAUAGAUGCUGAUCUGGAUAGGCUUCAUAUAUUCUAAUUUGUUCACUUUAAACAUGGAGGCUAAAGUGGCCAAAGCAUCUGCCAUCUGAUUUUCAUCUCGUGGGAGGUAACUAAAGGUGACACUAUCAAAUUCCUCGAUCAAUUCCAUAACCAAUUUUCGAUAGCGAACCAACUUCGGGUCUCUUGUUUCCCAUUCCCCCUUGAGCUGGUAAAUUACUAAUGCAGAGUCCCCGUAUACCUCUAGCACCUUAAUUUUCCGCUUUAUGGCUGCCCGAAUGCCCAUAAUGCAAGCUUCAUACUCAGCCAUAUUAUUUGUGCAGUCAAAGUCCAAUUUGCUAGUGAAAGGAUAAUAAUCUCCACUAGGGGACACGAGUACUGCCCCAAUUCCGUUGCCUAUAGCAUUUGAAGCUCCGUCAAAACUCAACUUCCAAGGACCACCUUCUUGGAAAUCUUUCUUUACGGUUGCGGCAUACAUCAAAUCCUCAUUUGGGAAAUCGAAGUUCAAUGGCUCAUAAUCAUCGAGAGCCCUACUUGCUAGGAAUUCCGCUAUUGCACUCCCUUUGACCGCCUUCUGGUUCACAUAGACUACGUCAAAUUUAGAUAGAAGAAUUUUCCAUCGAGCCAUUCUUCCAUUCAGAGCGGCUGACUCCAUCAAGUAUUUCAGAGGGUCUAAUUUGGAGAUUAACCAGGUCGUAUAGUACAACAUGUACUGUCUCAGUCUCCGAGUUGUCCAAAUUAAAGCACAACAUAAUUUCUCGAUUGGCGAAUAUCUUAUUUCGCAUUCGGUGAACUUCUUACUGAGAUAGUAGAUCGCUCUUUCCUUUCGUCCUGAUUCGUCAUGUUGACCAAGCACGCAUCCCAUGGAAUUUUCAAAUACUGCCAAAUACAGUAUGAGCGGUUUGUCUGGGCAGGGUGGCAUCAGUACUGGGGCGUUGGAUAAGUAAUGUUUGACUUUUUCAAAAGUUUUUUGACAUUCCUCAUCCCAUACACCUGGAUUAUGUUUCUUGAGGAGGCGAAAUAUGGGGUCGCAUUUCUCAGUUAGCUGUGAGAUGAACCGAGCAAUAUAGUUCAGCCUUCCUAGAAAACCUCGAACCUCCUUUUGAGUACGCGGCGGGGGUAAUUCUUGUAUUGCUCUUACUUUGUCAGGAUCAAUCUCAAUUCCUCUUUCACUGACCACGAAUCCAAGUAAUUUUCCUGAUCUGACCCCGAAUGUGCAUUUUGCUGGAUUUAGCUUUAGCUGAAAUUUCCUCAAUCUCGUAAAUAAUUUCUUAAGGACCUGCACAUGUUCCUUUUCUGUUUUAGAUUUUGCAAUCAUGUCAUCAACAUAGACUUCUAACUCCUUAUGCAUCAUGUCAUGGAACAGUGUUCCAUGGCCCUCUGAUACGUUGCCCCUGCAUUUUUCAACCAAAAUGGCAUCACCUUAUAACAAAAAGUUCCCCAUAGGGUUAUGAACAUAGUUUUCCUCAUAUCCUCGGGAUGCAUCUUAAUUUGGUUAUAUCCCGAGAAGCCAUCCAUGAAAGAAAACAGUGAAUGUCCUGCUGUAUUGUCUACCAAGGCGUCGAUAUGCGGCAAGGGAAAGUUAUCUUUUGGGAUAGCCUUAUUUAGAUCUCUAUAAUCCACACACAUUCGUACCUUCCCAUCUUUCUUAGGGACAGGAACAAUGUUAGCUACCCACUCGGAGUAUUUGACCACCUUCAGGAACCCAGCGUCAAAUUGCUUUUGCACCUCUUCUUUUAUUUUUAACACGAUAUCAGGCCUUAUUCUUCGGAGUUUUUGCUGAACUGGUUUGCAAUCCUCCUUUAUAGGAAGUCGGUGAACCACGAUGUCAAUACUUAACCCCGGCAUAUCUUGGUAUGACCAUGCGAAGACAUCUUUGAACUCUCGCAGCAAUUCAAUGAGGUAUUGUUUUACUUCUUCAGCUAUGCGGAUACCAAUCUUUAACACCUUUCCCUCUUCCAAGAUCACUGUCUCUAUCGUCUCUUCGUGGGGUAGAAUCUGUUUCUCUUCCUGCUCUACCAUUCUCAACAAGUCCGGAGAUAGGUUGCAAUCUGUGUUAUCUUCAAAAUCUUGAGAUUCCUCUGGACACAUAUCUCGUUCAAAAAGAUUUUCUAAGUCCAUAGUAGAGUCACUCAUAUCAUUGAUAUCUUGGGACCUGUUAUAGGUAUCAAAGAAUGUACAGGGAAUGUAUGAAUUUAAGGAUUCUUAUUUAGUAUGACCAUGAAUGUAUGAAAAAAAGAAUUUGAAAAGAAUAUAUACUCAAAAUGCGAAGAUAUAUUUCAUUGAAAUCACAAUGUCCACAUAUAAGCCUAUUUCAGUUCACAAAAGUUUUCAUUUUCUCUAGGCUUAGAAUAAUUAAUGUUUUGAAUAUUACUCUGGAAAAGCUCUAAAAACUUCAGGCAUUUCUUCCGCAGUCCAAUUGUUUAAAACACUCCCAGGUUCAACGGGAUAGAUGCCUGACGUACUUCCUCCUUCAAAUUCUUCUUCACAUAUGGCAUUGAUGCUUAAGUUUCUUAACAUUUCCUCUGCGGUCUUCUUUCUUGGAGCCCUCAGUUCAGAAUACAUAGUUCCUCCCGACAUGAAUGUCCUGGAUAUGUGGGGGAAAGCCAUAGGUUCCCAGUCGACUUCUUUUCCGUUCAAACGCGCCUUCCUUCUAUCUUGUCUCUUUUCUAACUCUUUCCUUCUCUGUUUGGUAUUUGGUUUAAAUCCUAAACCAAAACGAUCUUGUUUGUAUUUCACUACUGGUGCCCCCAUCCUUCCCUGAAGGCAUCUUCCAAGUCCUCUUCCAGGCACAGCUCCUUUCCCAACUGUCGCUUGUAAUCCCAUCCUUGUGGCUUUAGACAUGCUGGGCGUCGGAAUCUUCUUUCCCCCUAUGACAAAGGUUGCAUUUACGAACUCCAAAGAUCGAAAAGAACAUUCAACUGCCUCGUCGUCUAUUCCCAAAUAUGGUGUAUCAUUGGUUACCAAUGCAAUGAUAUCUUCCUCGGCGUCAAUUGUAAUUAACCGGCCUUCUAUUACCAAUUUUAACUUCUGGUGCAAUGAUGAAGGCACCGCCCCUGCCGAAUGAAUCCAGGGUCUUCCUAAUAAGCAAUUAUAUGACGGCUUGAUAUCCAUCACUAGGAAGUCCACAUCGUAUGUAUUUGGGCCAAUUAAAAGAGGUACUUCUAUUCUUCCUAUCACCUUUCUUUCGGUACCAUCAAAUGCUCUCACUAUAUUUUGGCAUGAUCUCAUGUGAGAGUUAUCCACCGGUAACCUACUUAAGGUAGAUAGGGGUAAAACAUUCAAGGCUGAUCCAUUGUCAAUUAGCACUCCAGCUAACAUAUACUCCCCGCAACGAGCAGUGAUGUGUAAUGCUUUGGUAGAUCCUCUUCCCCCUGGCGGUAUUUCAUCAUCAUUAAAAAAGAUGAAAUUAUUGGCAUUGAUAUUAUUAACCAAGCGGUCUAACUUAUUCACCGAGAUAUCUUUAGUGACAUAAGUUUCAUUUAGCACCUUAAUCAACGCAUUACGAUGUAUCUCUGAACUUAUAAGCAACUCAAGUACGGAGAUACGAGCCGGUUGCUUAUGUAAUUGUUCUACCACGCUGUACUCGCUAUGUUUCAAGAAUUUUAGAAAUUCAUUGGCUUGAUUUUCAGUUACCGGCUGAUUGACACUCGAUUCAAUUUCGUCUGUUUUUGUUUUUCCUAGCUCAACUGCUAAAGCUUUUUCUUUUCCAGAUUCCACUAUCGCGUCUGCCGGAUCAUAGCGCUUUCCACUUCGUGUAUAGAAUCCUUCCUUCUUUUUUGAAGCAUUUACCGAGCUCUCUUUUCCUGGAAUCGUCACAUUGCAAUCGUAACUCCAAGGAACCUUUUUGUUACCCUUGUAAGGAAAGGAUACAGGUUUUUGGAUUAUAACUUUUGGCCCUAUUUGUAUUCCAGAUUCUUUGUUCAUUGGCUUUGAAAUGAUAACCACUGGAUGACAAAGCUCUUGGGUUCUCCUUGCAGAUCCUUCUCCUGUAGCACAAACUUCUUCCUCUUUUAACCCUUUGAUUUCUUCAUAAAACUCCAUUUCUUUGCUAUCCAUAAAGUUUUGCACCACGAUUCUGAACUCGGUGCAUUCCUGGAUGUCAUGAUCUUCUUCUGCGUGGAACUUACAAAAUCUCUUUGCUUGUUCAGGCCUUUCUAUCGAAUCUUGCUUGAUAAGACCUCUUUUUACCAUUUGUUUCCAAACCCAUCCAAGAGGGGUUUUUAUCUCUGCCACGUUGGCUUUGACUCUUCUUCCUUCAUUCUCACUUAUCGCGUUUACCCUAUUAUCGUCAUGAUUGGGCAACGGAUUUUCUGCUACAUUUGGCCCUGAUGAGUCGCCAAUCUUUACGAUCCCCAUAUUGAUAAGUUUCUCCACUAACUUCUUGAAUGCAGUGCAGUUCUCAAUCGAGUGCCCCUUAAUCCCCGCGUGGUACUCGCAUUGGGAGUUUAUGUCAUACCAUUUGGGGUACGGAGGUUGCAUGGGUUUUAGGUAAAAUGGAGAUACCACAUGUGCAUCAAAUAAAUUCUGAUACAAUUCUUUAUACGUCACCGGGAUGGGUGUGAAUUGAGGUCUUUCUAUAUUUGGCCUUGAAUUGGACUCCCGUCUCGAAGAACCUUGCUGAUUAGUGGUUGUUGCUCUGGCUUGUCCCACCGUGAUUGAUCUAGAAUGGUCCUUGUUAAACAUGUUUGUGUUGUUUAUCUCAUGCUCCUUCUUUCUCAGUGCUGACCUUUUAGCACUUUCUCCUGCUUCUAUCUUGCCACUCCUUAUGGCAUUUUCUAUCAUUUCUCCAGACAUCACUAUGUCUGAAAAGCUUUUGGUGGCACUACCCAGCAUGUGAUUGAGAAAUGGAGCUUUCAAAGUAUUGAUAAAAAGCAUGGUUAUCUCUUUUUCUAAAAGUGGUGGUUGAACUUGUGCUGCUACCUCCCUCCAUCUUCGAGCAUACUGGCGAAAGCUCUCAUUAGUUUUCUUUUCCAUAUUUUGCAAUACAAUUCGAUCGGGUGCUAUGUCCAUCACAUGUCUGUAGUGUUUUAUAAAGGCCUGCGCCAAAUCUUUCCAAGAGUGGAUUUCAGCUCGACUCAAUUGAUUGUACCAUCUAACAGCUGACCCGAUCAAACUAUCCUGAAAACAGUGAACCAACAGCUGCUCAUUGUUGAUGUACCCGGUCAUUCUUCGGCAAAACAUAGUGAUAUGAGCAUCGGGACAACUUGUCCCGUCAUAUUUUUCAAACUCCGGCAUUUUAAACUUAGGAGGGAGGAUUAAAUCAGGCACCAAGCUCAGAUCUUUAGCAUCCAUUCCUCGGUGGUAAUCAGCACUUUCCAUGGCCUUAAACUUUUCCUCCAGCCAUUUACAUCGGUCUUCCAAUUGCUUUGAUAGAUCCACUUUCGUAUUUUCCACUUCUGCCACGUCAUCGAGGUCAGGGACUAUGAGAUUGGUGGGAUUCUCUCCGGAAUUGUUACUUAUUCCGAUUGGAGGACUCGUUUGGAAUUGUUGGGGUCUAAUUGUAACAGAGGGUCUUUGUUGAUACAUUUCAGCUUGAGUAUGCGCGUGCAGAGGGGUAAAGCCUGGAGGGUAAAGGGGUUCAUCACUAUUUCCAUCUUCAACAUUAACAAUAGGGUCCUUUCCCUUGUCUUUUCCUCCUUUCAACAGUUGCGUUAACUUUGCCAUCAUGUCGUCUUGGGAUUCUCGCAUCUCUCGCUGAAUCUUUUCCAACCGCUCUUCUAUCUGAUCUUGCAUAUCUCUUUGGAGCUGCUCAAGUUUUUCUAGUCUUUGAUCCAUGUUUCUUGACUUCGCUCGAGUUCCGUAAGAGUGACGGUUUUCCAGGUUAACUGAAAUAAUUUUAUUUAGUUAGGGUCUUUUAAUGGUCAUUAAUGCAUAUAAUGCAAUGCAUGAAAUGAAUGCAAAAGGCGUUAAUUCUAGUUCAAUUUCAUUAUGAAAACUUUACUAGAAAAUAAACUUUUUUACAUAAGGUGGAUUACAUAUACGACUUAGCCCUAAAACUCAAAAUUCUAAUCCUCCUAAGCAACGAGUCUAGCUCCUGUCCUCGACUCGACUCUAAUUCGUACUUCACGCUUAACACAUCAGCUUGUACUGCUAACGUCUGCAAGUGAUCAGCCACCUCUCGGAUUUGAAGCACGGCUUCUCCCAUGAUUUGAUCUCUAUCUCUUACUUGGUUCUGAAAGUAGUGCAACUGCUCGGUUUGACGAUCUUCAUUAGAUCUCAUGUGCUCAAUCCGCAUCUCGCAACUUCCCAAUGCUGCUUCUAACUCUUCAAUUCUUCGUUUCAUCUCUUCAAUUCUACUUAGGCUUACUUUUAAUUCCAUCACAGAAUUUCGAUUUCGAUGCCGAUAGAGAGAUUCUUCUAACUCGGACACUCUAUUUUCUAGUUCCCCUUUUUCUUUCUGAUUCUCUGACAGACUCUUCUUUAAAGUCUCGUUCUGGGUUUGAACUUCUUGAAACCUUGUUUCCCAUCUAUCAGCUUUGUUCUUUUCUUCUUGAACUUCCUUGCGCCAUUGUUCAGAAGUCUUUCCCAACCCGGCGGUUCUCAUUGAUGAUCGCAACUUCUUGUAAUCUGUUUUCAGACUGUUCAGAUCUUCUUCAGCCCUAGCUUUUCCUUUUCUUAAUCGCUCCAUCUCGAGCUUCUGGACAUCUACAUCCAACCUUAAGUUUGUUUUUUCUUCCUCCAUUUGCUCUAUCUGUUUUUCCAACUCUGCAUUUCUUCUUUCAAAAUCUUGCUUCAAAAUUUCUAGUUCAGAAAGGAUGACCCGUAAGUGCUCCUCUAUCGAAUGACUGCCUUCGAGGCUUGAUUUGGGGACAUUGUCAUUGAUUCUUCUGACCCUCCAUUCUUUAUAUUCGGGGGUUGUCAUUGGUCCUACAGCUAAUCGCUUCAUUUGGCGAGUCUGAUUCCACGCAUUGGAUAUCUCUCGAAUCCUCUUUUUGUAGCCAUCACCCCCAUACGAGAAUUCACACUCGGCCAGCCCCUGGGUUGCGGGUAUAAACUGUCUUGAUCUGUACUGUCUGAGCACUAAUAACGGGGCAUAGCCAAUAGCUCCCCAGAUUCCAAGCAAAGGGACCCAAUCAAAACUACCACAUCGGUACAAAAUUUCGUCUGGAAGUAACCACGGAGCUCUCCAUUCAAUGUCUUCUUCAUGCAAGUUUUGAAGAAUUGCCAUCCAUUUUUCCAUUGAAAUGUCGUCCCUUCUCGGUGUAGCUAUCGUCUCCUUUAGCGGCGAAUAGUUUUCAGAGAAGACCCGAUAUGACACCUUAUCCACUUUCCAAAAAUGACUGUGGAACCACGCAAGUAGCAACUGUGCACAUCCAAUGAACCUGCCUUCGCCCGCUCGCCGACAGGUACUCAAUGAUCUGAAUGUCUCCGCUAAAAUUGCUGGAAUCAGGGUAACUCCUUUAUCAAGGCGGUCGAACAAAUCAGUAACCGCCUCAUCAAUAUGCCCCAAAGCUCUAGGAAAGAUAACUAAGCCAUAUAUGCUUAGGGCGAAGAUAUCUACCCUAUUUUUUAUAUCCGGGUGCACCAAAGCCACAUCUUUCAAACUCCUCCAAGAAAUGCACUUGUUAUCCCCUUUUUGUUUAAUUCGGGCCGUAACCCACUGCUCACUCAUGCCUGUUAUGUUCAUUAACCUUCUCAAAAAGGGUACAUUUGCGGCUCUUGAGUAGAUUCUGUCGACUUGACUCUUUGAACACCGAAGUAAAGCCAUAUAUUCUUCUAUCGUAGGCACCAAGUCAACUUUCCCGAACGAAAAACAACUAUAGGCGGGAUUCCAAAAUUGUGCGAGAGCCCGGAAUAGGUGCUUAUCUACCUUCAUAUCUAGCAGGUACGGCAAGUCCCCGUAAUGGGAAUAAAACAACUGUCUGGCCUCCUCGUCCCAAUGGUCCCAAAUUCCUUUCAACUCUUGUAAAUCGUUCUGGGUUAUGCUAAUGCGGGUAAAGUCCCAUAGCUCUGAUAUAUAUCCUUCAGCCAAACUAUCCCCUUUCUCUUGUUGUGUCGUUUCCGACCAAAUUCGGACUGCCGCAUUAUCUUCCACCUUAUCAAGAAACCUUCUUUCCAUGAUAAGCUUUCUUUCUAGAAACCGAAUAUGAACCAACGCCUUGAAAUAAUGAAAUGCCAUGCAGUUGAAAUGUCAUGCAUCCAAAGUAAAACAACAAAUAUCAGUACCAGAUAUAAACAUAUAAUCCAAGAUAAUUCAAAAAGAAUAAAAGCACAUCAGGGUAUUUACUAGGGUUUGGUGUAGUUCUACUUAAGGUGAGUUCCUAAGGUUUACUACAUGGGGUUUGGUUCUAAAGCAAAGGUACCCGAACCAGCAGAUUCCUCGAUCUUCACCCAUUAUAGUCUCAUAUAGACCGAGUUCGGUUUAGGGGAAUACAUUUCCCUAUGGCUGCACGGAGAUGAAAAUCUCACGAAGACAUAGGUACGGAUGUAUCCCGAAAGCGAUCCACUAUCCUGCACGGAGGUGAAAACCUCACGAAGGAGUAGCUUCUCACUCCCACUUAAAAGGUGUGACCAACGGUCAUGCAAUGCAAUGCAAAGAUAUAAAAGUUUAAAAUACGAAACAUGAUGAAAACUAUAGCUCAAAACAAAUGAAAUGCAAUGAGAAGAUCGUAUAUUUAAAUCAAAUUUUCAACUUUCGACAAAAAGACAAAAAAUAAUCAACUCGUGGCUUGACUCACUUAUUUUGAAAAAGUCCCCAGUGGAGUCGCCAAGCUGUUGACACCAUUUUUUGGAUGAAAACGGGGUCGACUUGGAUUUUGGAAAAAAAAGAAUAAAAACGGGAGUCGCCACCAAUCCUUUUUUGAUGAGGUGUGAUUGGGUCACCUCAAAAGGUGGUUGUUUUUAAUAAAUGAUUUAAUUUUAUUAAAACAACGAUUUUGGUCUACGAAAUUCAGAAAAAUGAGUUCGGGAGUCGGUUACGCACGAGGAAGGAUUAGCACCCUCGAUACGCCCAAAAUUGGUACCUAGUUGAUUAAUUAGUGUCUUAGUGUCGAAAAUUUGAAAACUUGAAAGAAUUUAAAAUACGAUCCCUCUUUGUAAAGAAAAUGCUCAAAUGUUAAGGACCUUCUCGUCUCACAAUAUAAAAUGUCACAUCCAGUAAGUUAGGACACGACAUCUUGAAUUUUCGAGAACGAGCUUGCCUUUUAUAUAAAAAUUCGUGUAUUUCAAAAGGUUAUUCAGUUAGUUAAGGUGAACGAGGAAAAUCGAAACCCAGUAAGUUAGGGCACGUUUCCUCGAAUUCCCAAACACCGAAUAUUGCCUUUACUUGCAAAAAUCUUAUUUCGAGGUAACGAAAUGCCAUACCCAGUAAGUUAGGGAACAACACCUCGUAUCUCCGAGAAUAAGCAUUUUUCAAAACUCAUGUCACGAUUUAAAAGAGUAUUCCGUUAUUUAGGUUAAAGGAGAAAAAUCGAAACCCAAUAAGUUAGGGCACGAUUGUCUCGAAUUACCAAAUACGGAAUAUUACUUUUAUGAAAGAAUUAUUAUUGGGUUGGAUAUAAUGAUAAUAAGAAUAAUAUUAAAGUAAAGUAAACAAUAAUACUAUAUAUAAAUGUAUAUAUAUAUAUGUAUAUAAUAGAAAUACACACUACUAUAUAAUAAUAAUAAAUAUAGAAAUACAAAAAGCAAAUAUAAUAAAAAUAUUAAAUUAAAGUAAUAAAAAAUAAUACUAUAUAUAAAAUAUAUAUAUACAUAAAAAUAUACACUAAUAUAUAAUAGUAAUAGUGAUAGCAAAAAUAAUAAAAAUAUAAGUAAUAUUAAUAAUAUAUUAGAAUACAAAAGUAAAGUAAUAACAAUAGGGGUGAUAAUAAUAAUAAUACAAACAAUAAUACAUAUAUAUAAUAAUAGUAGUUAGAAAUAAAAAAUAAUAAAAGUAACAAUAAUGAUAGUAAUAAUAUAAAUAAAUAUGGAGAGGGCAUAUAUAAUAUAAUAAUAUAAAAAAAAUAAUAUAUACAUGAGAAAUAAUAAUAAUAAUAUAAAUAAUAGUAAAAAUAAUAAAAUAAUAAAACAAAGCUCUCAACUCUCUUUCUCCCUCUUUUCUAAAUCCGGCCGUUGGUCCGGCUUUGCUUCGGUCAUGGACCCCCACGGGCCGCCAUCGGCGCCACCGUACACGGCGGCCGGACCUCAAAAAAACCUUUUUCGAUAAUGAAAAUAUAGGUAAGCUUCUUACUUUUAUUUUUACUUUCGUAUAAAAAAACAAAAUAAAAUUGAAAGGAAAACAAUAAACAAACAAAGAACUAAAGAUAAGAAUAGACAAAAGAAACCUCUUUUGCUUUGAUCUUUGAUUAAUCUCCAAAAACUAGCCUUUCCAAGAAACAAAAAUAACCUUUUUUACAAAAAAACACCUCCAAAAAACAAAAAAAAACCUCCUCCAAAACAAAGAAUAAUCCUUCUCCAAAAAACCAAAAACCCACCCCUAAAAACAAAGUCUUGAAUGGCUUUUAUAGCCAAAUUUUACAAGUGGAGUGGUUGGGGUGGUUUAGGUGGCCAAGGGUGGUGGAGUUGGUGGCUAAGGUGGGUGGCCAACAAAGGUGGUGGAGUAGGUGGCCAAGGUUUUUAUUUAUUUAUUUAUUUAUUUUUUGUGUUUG